UUAGGAAUCUUGGGCAAUGGGCGAAAGCCUGACCCAGCCAUGCCGCGUGAAUGAUGAAGGUCCUAGGAUUGUAAAAUUCUUUCACCGGGGAAGAUAAUGACGGUACCCGGAGAAGAAGCUCCGGCUAACUUCGUGCCAGCAGCCGCGGUAAUACGAAGGGGGCUAGCGUUGCUCGGAAUUACUGGGCGUAAAGGGCGCGUAGGCGGACGACUAAGUUGGGGGUGAAAUCCCAGGGCUCAACCCUGGAACUGCCUCCAAAACUGGUCGUCUUGAGUAUGGGAGAGGUGUGUGGAACUCCGAGUGUAGAGGUGAAAUUCGUAGAUAUUCGGAAGAACACCAGUGGCGAAGGCGACACACUGGCCCAUUACUGACGCUGAGGCGCGAAAGCGUGGGGAGCAAA
rnacentral:rRNA from 1 species